AAACCAUGGUGCGGGCAUUCUCUUUGCAAAUCCUUGAAUCUCUCCCAAACCUCGAACAAACUCUCAUCCGCUUGUUGUGAGAUACCUAAUAUCUGACCCC
rnacentral:snoRNA from 1 species